CACUGUCCUUAGAUAUUCACUUACUGUGUCCGGCUGUGAGCCAAAGGGACAAGGUUCCUACCAUCGUGGAGCUCAGAUUUUAGAAGAGAUUUUAGACAGCAGAAAGGACAAAGGAGCCAAACCAGGCUGAUGUGCAUCCUGAAAGCCUUUCUGCUUCAUGAUCCUGAGCAUUCCUGAUGUGCUUGACGGUGGAUAUCAAGCUGUGAACAAAGAACCCACCCUUGUGGAACUAGAACUUCUGGAUUUUUCUGAAACUGGCAGAAGCAAGGGAGGGGUGGUCCCACUUAAGGUCAGAGGGACAGGUCCGGGGCAGCAGGGAAGCAAUGUAGCACGGUUAAAGAAGAUGGUAGGGACAGAGGCACAACUGGGUACUCUUGUGGUAUCUCCUAGAUUGUACUCCAAGCCCCUUGUUUGGUUCCCUCACCAAUAUAGCCCCAG
rnacentral:lncRNA from 1 species